GAAAUGCGAUAAGUAAUGCGAAUUGCAGAAUUCCAGUGAGUCAUCGAAUCUUUGAACGCACAUUGCGCCCUUUGGUAUUCCAUGGGGCAUGCCUGUUCGAGCGUCAUUUGUACCCUCAAGCUCUGCUUGGUGUUGGGUGUUUGUCCCGUCUCCGCGCGUGGACUCGCCCCAAAGUGAUUGGCAGCCGGCGUACUGGUCCCGGAGCGCAGCACAUGUCGCGCAAACGAGUGCCUUGGUACGGCGGCGUCCAUAAGCCCCUCUCUCACGCUCUUGACCUCGGAUCAGGUAGGGAUACCCGCUGAACUUAAGC
rnacentral:misc_RNA from 1 species